AGCACUGUAUGGUAUCUGCAGCCAGUUGCUUCCUCAGCUGGUUAGUUCAAAAGUCGGUGCUAGACAAACUCAACAACUGGCAUCGUUGGUCUCCAUACUGCCUGUGUUAGGAGUCCUGGUAUGUUUGUUGAAACACUA
ensembl:snoRNA